GGACCUGACUGCUAUCGGAUUGAUACUAAGCCAUGCGAGUCGUUGUAGCAAUACAAGGCAUACGGCUCAGUAACGCGUAGUCAACCUAACCUAUGGACGGGAAUAACCUCGGGAAACUGAGAAUAAUGCCCGAUAGAACAUUAUGCCUGGAAUGGUUUAUGUUCCAAAUGAUUUAUCGCCAUAGGAUGGGACUGCGGCCUAUCAGUUUGUUGGUGAGGUAAUGGCCCACCAAGACUAUUACAGGUACGGGCUCUGAGAGGAGUAGCCCGGAGAUGGGUACUGAGACACGGACCCAGGCCCUAUGGGGCGCAGCAGGCGAGAAAACUUUGCAAUGUGCGAAAGCACGACAAGGUUAAUCCGAGUGAUUUCUGCUAAAGAGAUCUUUUGUUAGUCCUAGAAACACUAACGAAUAAGGGGUGGGCAAGUUCUGGUGUCAGCCGCCGCGGUAAAACCAGCACCUCAAGUGGUCAGGAUGAUUAUUGGGCCUAAAGCAUCCGUAGCCGGCUCUAUAAGUUUUCGGUUAAAUCUGUACGCUCAACGUACAGGCUGCCGGGAAUACUGCAGAGCUAGGGAGUGGGAGAGGUAGACGGUACUCGGGAGGAAGGGGUAAAAUCCUUUGAUCUCUCGAUGACCACCUGUGGCGAAGGCGGUCUACCAGAACACGUCCGACGGUGAGGGAUGAAAGCUGGGGGAGCAAACCGGAUUAGAUACCCGGGUAGUCCCAGCUGUAAACUAUGCAAACUCAGUGAUGCAUUGACUUGUGGUCAAUGCAGUGCUGCAGGGAAGCCGUUAAGUUUGCCGCCUGGGAAGUACGUACGCAAGUAUGAAACUUAAAGGAAUUGGCGGGGGAGCACCACAAGGGGUGAAGCCUGCGGUUCAAUUGGAUUCAACGCCGGG
rnacentral:rRNA from 1 species